AACGAACGCUGGCGGCAGGCUUAACACAUGCAAGUCGAACGAUCUCUUCGGAGGUAGUGGCAGACGGGUGAGUAACACGUGGGAACGUACCUUUCAGUCAGGAAUAACUCAUGGAAACGUGAGCUAAUACCCGAUACGCCCUUUUGGGGAAAGAUUUAUCGCUGAAAGAUCGACCCGCGUCUGAGUAGCUUGUUGGUGGGGUAAUAGCCUACCAAGGCGACGAUCAGUAGCUGGUCUGAGAGGAUGAUCAGCCACACUGGGACUGAGACACGGCCCAGACUCCUACGGGAGGCAGCAGUGGGGAAUAUUGGACAAUGGGCGCAAGCCUGAUCCAGCCAUGCCGCGUGAGUGAUGACGGCCUUAGGGUUGUAAAGCUCUUUCGACGGGGACGAUAAUGACGGUACCCGUAGAAGAAGCCCCGGCUAACUUCGUGCCAGCCGCCGCAGUAA
rnacentral:rRNA from 1 species